UAGGGAAUCUUCGGCAAUGGACGGAAGUCUGACCGAGCAACGCCGCGUGAGUGAAGAAGGUUUUCGGAUCGUAAAGCUCUGUUGUAAGAGAAGAACGAGUGUGAGAGUGGAAAGUUCACACUGUGACGGUAUCUUACCAGAAAGGGACGGCUAACUACGUGCCAGCAGCCGCGGUAAUACGUAGGUCCCGAGCGUUGUCCGGAUUUAUUGGGCGUAAAGCGAGCGCAGGCGGUUAGAUAAGUCUGAAGUUAAAGGCUGUGGCUCAACCAUAGUUCGCUUUGGAAACUGUCAAACUUGAGUGCAGAAGGGGAGAGUGGAAUUCCAUGUGUAGCGGUGAAAUGCAUAGAUAUAUGGAGGAACACCGGUGGCGAAAGCGGCUCUCUGGUCUGUAACUGACGCUGAGGCUCGAAAGCGUGGGGAGCGAACAGGAUUAGAUACCCUGGUAGUCCACGCCGUAAACGAUGAGUGCUAGGUGUUAGGUCCUUUCCGGGACUUAGUGCCGCAGCUAACGCAUUAAGCACUCCGCCUGGGGAGUACGACCGCAAGGUU
rnacentral:rRNA from 1 species